rnacentral:tRNA from 1 species
UCCGAGAUAGUUCAGUGGUAGAACGCCACGCUGUUAACGUGGAUGUCGCAGGUUCAAAUCCUGCUCUCGGAG